CGGACGGGUGAGUAACGCGUGGGUAACCUACCCUGUACACACGGAUAACAUACCGAAAGGUAUGCUAAUACGGGAUAAUAUAUUUGAGAGGCAUCUCUUGAAUAUCAAAGGUGAGCCAGUACAGGAUGGACUCGCGUCUGAUUAGCUAGUUGGUAAGGUAACGGCUUACCAAGGCGACGAUCAGUAGCCGACCUGAGAGGGUGAUCGGCCACAUUGGAACUGAGACACGGUCCAA
rnacentral:rRNA from 1 species